CAGUGGAAAAGAUGGUGGCAUGUUUUGGACCAGAAGAAGCUGUGAAGAUCAUGGUGGACAUCCUGAGAAAGAUGAAGCAGAAUGAUCUGGCUGAACAGUUGGAGAAUGAACACAAGCAAGCUCAGGCUGAGGGCAAUAUGAAGACAUCUGUCCCUGCUGGAGAGCUGCAAAACUUCUUGAAAACUCACAAAAACAACAUGAAGAAGAAAG